rnacentral:rRNA from 1 species
GAUGAACGCUAGCUACAGGCUUAACACAUGCAAGUCGAGGGACCGGCGCACGGGUGAGUAACACGUAUCCAACCUGCCCUUUACUAGGGGAUAGCCUUUCGAAAGAAAGAUUAAUUCCCUAUGUAAAGGAUGGGGAUGCGUUCCAUUAGGUUGUUGGUGAGGUUACGGCUAAUCAAGCCUUCGCUGGAUAGGGGUUCUGAGGGGAAGGCCCCCCACAUUGGAACUGAGACACGGUCCAAACUCCUACGGGAGGCAGCAGUGAGGAAUAUUGGUCAAUGGGCGUUAGCCUGAACCAGCCAAGUAGCGUGAAGGAUGAAGGCUUAUGGGUCGUAAACUUCUUUUAUAUAAGAAUAUGUAUUAGAUGAAUAAGGAUCGGCUAACUCCGUGCCAGCAGCCGCGGUAAUUC